UACGGAGGGUGCAAGCGUUGCUCGGAAUCACUGGGCGUAAAGAGCGUGUCGGCGGUUUCGUAUGUCUGGCGUGAAAGCCCCGGGCUCACCCCGGGAAGUGCGUUGGAAACCGCGAGACUAGAGGCCCGGAGAGGAAGGUGGAAUUCCAGGUGUAGCGGUGAAAUGCGUAGAUAUCUGGAAGAACACCGGUGGCGAAGGCGCCCUUCUGGACGGUGACUGACGCUGAGACGCGAAAGCGUGGGGAGCAAACAGG
rnacentral:rRNA from 1 species